rnacentral:rRNA from 1 species
CCAGACUCCUACGGGAGGCAGCAGUGGGGGAUAUUGCACAAUGGGGGAAACCCUGAUGCAGCGACGCCGCGUGAGUGAAGAAGUAUUUCGGUAUGUAAAGCUCUAUCAGCAGGGAAGAAAAAAGACGGUACCUGACUAAGAAGCCCCGGCUAACUACGUGCCAGCAGCCGCGGUAAUACGUAGGUGGCAAGCGUUAUCCGGAUUUACUGGGUGUAAAGGGCGUGUAGGCGGGAAAGCAAGUCAGAUGUGAAAACCAUGGGCUCAACCUGUGGCCUGCAUUUGAAACUGUUUUUCUUGAGUACUGGAGAGGCAGACGGAAUUCCUAGUGUAGCGGUGAAAUGCGUAGAUAUUAGGAGGAACACCAGUGGCGAAGGCGGCUUACUGGACAGUGACUGACACUGAGGCUCGAAAGCGUGGGGAGCAAACAGGAUUAGAUACCCCAGUAU